rnacentral:tRNA from 1 species
GUUUAUAUAGUUUAAAAAAAACAUAACACUUUCAUUGUUAUAUUGGAUAAAUAUCCUUUAAAUA